GCAGAAAUCCUAUACGUUCAUAUCAUCAGCACCUGCGACUGACCAUGCAGACGGGAGGUGCCAGUGGGCAUGCGCAGCGCGCUUCGACGGCGGCGCGACUGCAAGCGAAGAUGGUGCCCGAGUAACCGAGACACUCCCCCUUCAGCGACAACGUAAACGGGAUCAUUCCAGCAGUCAAAAGUGAACCAAGUAUUUUCCUCAUCCCAGUAAAUUUAUGCACAAAGAUAAAUAUUUUUUUGUGUCCCGGCAAGUCCUUAAGGUCUUACUGAAGCCAUACCAAGAGAUUUACUGAGUAUGAG